GUCCAGGCCACUGACCACUUGGGUUGGUGCGUUGUUGGCUAGAGAAGAUCUCCUCCAGCUUCAGCAGCUUCCACGGUUGUCUGUUUUCAGCCAAAGAGUUGAUCCCCAAGGAGAUAAUGUGAUGCUCUGGGAUCUCCCGACCCAGUGACACUGUGUAAAAUAAGACCUGAAUGGACGAAAUCCUGUGGAAAAUGAAGUUCUACCAGGACAAGAGUUCUGAGGAAAGAAGAGGAAAUUCAGGCCCCGGUGUGGUUUCUGAUGAAUAAUGAAAGGCACCAGGCAAGCAUACCUGAGCUUUGGCAUCCAAGAGCCCAAGACAAUGGGAUACCAUGAAGAACCACCAGAGAAGAAGGCUGAGUGAAGCGCAGACAUGGGAAGAGGUGGUCACGUGGAAAGUGAGUUCACAAAGAAAGAGAUGAAAUAGGGCUGUGGUGAAUGCAGACAUGGGAAGAAGUGGUCACGUGGAAAGUGAGUUCAAAAAGAGAGAGAGAACAUGAAAAUGGGAGCCUGUAACACUGAGCCACACUCCAGUGGACCAGAUCCUAUGGAAAUGAAGUUCCACCAGGACAGGUGUCCCCAGGAAGGAGGAGUAGAUUCAGGCCCCAGUGUGAUUUCUGAUGAAACCUGAAAGCAGUCCCGUGCUGGAGACCAAGGUAGGAAGGCUUCAAGUUGGAGGCCAGUCUGGCCAACAUAGAAACUCCGGUCUCAAAAUUAAGAAAUGAAAAAGUUUUUGAAGAUCCUAAUCCAAAUCCCCAAAUAAAAAGGCAACUUGGUAUCCUAGCGGUGGCUCC
rnacentral:lncRNA from 1 species